rnacentral:rRNA from 1 species
UACAGGGGGUGUAAACGUUGCUCGGAAUCAUUGGGCGUAAAGCGCACGUAGGCGGGCUGUUAUGUCGGAUGUGAAAGCCCUCGGCUCAACUGAGGAAGUGCAUCCGAAACUGGCAGGCUAGAGUACUAAAGAGGGUCGCGGAAUUCCCGGUGUAGAGGUGAAAUUCGUAGAUAUCGGGAGGAACACCGGUGGCGAAGGCGGCGACCUGGGUAGAUACUGACGCUGAGGUGCGAAAGCGUGGGGAGCAAACAGG